rnacentral:rRNA from 1 species
AUGAACGCUGGCGGCGUGCCUAAUACAUGCAAGUCGAGCGAACAGACGAGGAGCUUGCUCCUCUGACGUUAGCGGCGGACGGGUGAGUAACACGUGGAUAACCUACCUAUAAGACUGGGAUAACUUCGGGAAACCGGAGCUAAUACCGGAUAAUAUAUUGAACCGCAUGGUUCAAUAGUGAAAGACGGUUUUGCUGUCACUUAUAGAUGGAUCCGCGCCGCAUUAGCUAGUUGGUAAGGUAACGGCUUCCAAGGCGACGAUGCGUAGCCGACCUGAGAGGGUGAUCGGCCACACUGGAACUGAGACACGGUCCAGACUCCUACGGGAGGCAGCAGUAGGGAAUCUUCCGCAAUGGGCGAAAGCCUGACGGAGCAACGCCGCGUGAGUGAUGAAGGUCUUCGGAUCGUAAAACUCUGUUAUUAGGGAAGAACAAAUGUGUAAGUAACUAUGCACGUCUUGACGGUACCUAAUCAGAAAGCCACGGCUAACUACGUG